rnacentral:rRNA from 1 species
UACGGGGGGAGCAAGCGUUUGUUCGGAUUUACUGGGCGUAAAAGGGCGCGUAGGCGGCGCAACAAGUCACUUGUGAAAUCUCCGGGCUUAACCCGGAGCGGUCAAGUGAUACUGUCGUGCUAGAGUGCGGAAGGGCUACUGGAAUUCUCGGGUGUAGCGGUGAAAUGCGUAGAUAUCGAGAGGAACACCUGGCGGCGAAGGCGGGUAGCUGGGCCGACACUGACGCUGGAUGCGGCGAAAGCCCAGGGGAGCGAACGGG